UGCCAGAGCUAUAUCUCCCUGCAGUUCUCACCUGGUUUGUCACUGAAGAUAAGUGGGGUUGAGUCUGGCCAGUACUUGGAUGGGAGACCUCAUGCGGAGAACUAAGGUUGCUGUAGGAA
rnacentral:rRNA from 1 species